AGGUACUUUUUUAAUGUCCUAUUUCGGAGCUCGCCUCGGAUCCCCGAAAUCUCAAGGCCCGCCUUGUUCCCACCGCUGGGGGAGUUCACUGUGGAGAGGAAGUGAGCAGCCACGUGUUCUGGGAGAAUGUUCGCCAGGAGUUUCUGGUUGUAGGCCUUCAGGUGCUCCAUUUCCUCCUUCUCCUCCGUCGCUUGAAGCUUCCACAGAAAGUCCAGUCUGCGUUCAUUCGUCAGAACGAUCGAUCAACAUUCAAAUCACUUUUUUAUUCGUCGAAAAAUAAUCCGAGGGGACAUUAAUCUUCAUUUGCCAUUAAAAUUAAAUUAUCUUAGGAGGUGAGAAAUGUUCCUUGCCUGUAAGUAGCCUCAGUGUGUUGAGAGUGUGCGACCAGGCAAGCCAUGAAGAAAACCACCAGAACACCUGCCAACCACCGUCCAGUUAGUUCGACGUCCUUCUCGUUCAAAGC